rnacentral:rRNA from 1 species
GACGAACGCUGGCGGCGUGCUUAACACAUGCAAGUCGAACGGAAAGGCCCUGCUUGCAGGGUACUCGAGUGGCGAACGGGUGAGUAACACGUGGGUGAUCUGCCCUGCACUUCGGGAUAAGCCUGGGAAACUGGGUCUAAUACCGGAUAGGAGCCAUUUUUAGUGUGAUGGUUGGAAAGUUUUUUCGGUGUAGGAUGAGCUCGCGGCCUAUCAGCUUGUUGGUGGGGUAAUGGCCUACCAAGGCGGCGACGGGUAGCCGGCCUGAGAGGGUGGACGGCCACAUUGGGACUGAGAUACGGCCCAGACUCCUACGGGAGGCAGCAGUGGGGAUGAUUGCACAAUGGGCGCAAGCCUGAUGCAGCGCCGCCGCGUGGGGGAGGACGGCCUUCGGGUUGUAAACUCCUUUCGCUAGGGACGAAGCUUCUUGUGACGGUACCUAGAUAAGAAGCACCGGCUAACUACGUG